CUGCAACCAAGUAAGCCGACCGUGUCCCUUUCCUCAUGGGGGCCUGGUGUGCAAUGGCUGCAAACAGCAACUUCCUUGAUAGUGAACGCAGCCUGUUUCUAGUAUAGGUUGCUCUAAGGGACCUUGGAGACAGCC
rnacentral:snoRNA from 1 species